UACAGAGGGGGCAAGCGUUGUUCGGAAUUACUGGGCGUAAAGCGCGCGCAGGCGGCUAUCCAAGUCAGUGGUGAAAGCCCGGAGCUCAACUCCGGAACUGCCAUUGAAACUGUUUAGCUUGAGUAUGAGAGAGGUGAGUGGAAUUCCCAGUGUAGAGGUGAAAUUCGUAGAUAUUGGGAAGAACACCGGUGGCGAAGGCGGCUCACUGGCUCAUUACUGACGCUCAGGCGCGACAGCGUGGGGAUCAAACAGG
rnacentral:rRNA from 1 species